ensembl:lncRNA
UACAUACUACCUCAACUAACCGGUGCCCCCGCACAUUGACUCUGUACCGGCAUCCCCCUGUAUAUGUUGUUAUUUUUUACUGCUCCUCUUUAGUUACUUGUUACUUUUAUCUCUUAUUCUUAUCCAUAUUUUUUUAACUGCACUGUAGGUUAGGGGCUCGUAAGUAAGCAUUUCACUGUAAGGUGAUACACCUGUUGUAUUUGGCGCAUGUGACUAAUACAAUUUGAUUUGAUUUUUUAAAUUGAUUUGAUUACACAGGAGGUUGGUGUCACAAGAACGGGCUUGUGGUAACGGCUGGAGUAGAACAGGUGGAAUAGUAUCAAAUAAAAUCAAAUCCUUGGUUUCCAUUUGGUUCCAGCCAUUGUUAUGAGCCAUCCUCCCCUCAGCAGCCUGCUGUACCAUCUUGGCUAUUUGACAUCUCUUGCUGACGGUAAUAACAUUAACAACAAGCCACUGGGACUUGGACAAAACCGAGAAAACUGCACUAGGGGGAGCCAGUCAGUUGGACAUGGCUCCUAUAUUUACCUGCUUCCAGUGCACUCCAGCGAGAGGCGGAGGCAUGUGCUGUACCAUUACCAUCACCUGCAAAAACACCAGCACAACCUGACAAAUGUUUUCAAUAAGCUCUUAGUGAUGACAAUAUCAGCACCACUCUUCAAAUGAAAAAGAUCAUGGCAUCAUGGUCGCUCCAAGAGAAGAGAGGGGGGAAAAACAUGGUUUAUGGUCAAGGACAUUUGGAUCCAAGCUGUUGAGCCUACAUCACUUCAAGACCGGUUGAGUGGAGUGUGGCAGACCGGGCUCCUGGACUGUCCCCAGCAACAUCCUAGCUUCCAGACACACACACACACACACACACGUCACUCAUCACUCCGGACAGCAGACAGACGCC